CAUAUUGCCUUACACUCACCGUCUGUAGAUGUACAUGUGGACGUUAACAGGAAGAAUUUCCAUUCAUUGAAUGUUCAGAUCUGCGAUGCCCGUAUGCAACUACUCAAUGUGGCCAGGGUCUACCCACAACUCAAACGUUCAACAAUUGCAUUAUGUAAAUGAAUCAAACCCUGCGUAUUCUUCCGAGUUCAGUCACAAUCUGCCCAACCGAUGUGUUCAACUCGUUCUGGGUUUGCAGGAUUUAGGCGGUCAACACGCGAACAGAGGACAUGGACACAGAUGUGGAUGGACCCUCGAAACCUGUGGUCAAACAUUCCCCUUCACUCCUGGUACCUGCUGAUUUGGGAGCCUCACGCACUUUAUCACACCGAGCAGUAACUUCGGAAACGGUUAAAUUGGCUUGCGAAACCACCACGACUGGAUCACGAAACGCUGGAAGCUGCUUUGCAGCCUGUGCGCCCUCCACCCAGAGAUAAAGACCGAGGGUAAGUUGACUUUAUAUUCACACAUUCAGACAUCCAAAAGCCAUUUUAAAAAAGUACAAAUGAAUAACUAAUUCACAGUUUGUCACAAACUAGGUAUGAUAUAUUCCAUAAAAUGUCUAGCAUUAUUUGAUCACUUUCGUUUUGAUUCGAUAGAGGGCAUGUAGUCCGUCUAGAGGGCGUGUGGUCGAAGUUUUAACGAGUCUGUUGUACCCUACUAGAAGGGACCUGGCAGAAAAUUCUGCUUCUUCAGUCAUUAAAUUAGAUUACAGGAAAAAACUACGCGAUGAAGGGGUCAGGACUGACUAACAAGGAAAGCGGAUGGACAGGUGGAUGGAUCAAGAUAACCAAGAGGAUCAACAAGGACAUUCCACAGAAGCAGAGUGGAGAUAAGGAAAACUAAGAG